AAAACUGAUUACAUCCCUCCUAUGCUGAGCACAUCCCCUGCAUUUUGAAACAGCAAACAGCUCUCAUCCUCUCCACCAUUCCCUUGUUUUAGGCCACGUCAAGAGGUAGAAAAACCUUCAUAGAAACCA